UACGGAGGGUGCGAGCGUUGUCCGGAAUCACUGGGCGUAAAGGGCGCGUAGGUGGCUACUUAAGCGUGUGGUGAAAGUCCGGGGCUCAACCCCGGAUCGGCCGUGCGAACUGAGUGGCUUGAGCACUGUAGAGGCAGGUGGAAUUCCGGGUGUAGCGGUGGAAUGCGUAGAGAUCCGGAAGAACACCGGUGGCGAAGGCGGCCUGCUGGGCAGUGGCUGACACUGAGGCGCGACAGCGUGGGGAGCAAACAGGAUUAGAUACCCGAGUAGUCC
rnacentral:rRNA from 1 species